rnacentral:rRNA from 1 species
AUUGAACGCUGGCGGCAGGCCUAACACAUGCAAGUCGAGCGAGUGGCGGACGGGUGAGUAAUGUAUGGGAAACUGCCCGAUGGAGGGGGAUAACUACUGGAAACGGUAGCUAAUACCGCAUACUAUCGGAUGAACCCAGAUGGGAUUAGCUAGUAGGUGGGGUAAAGGCUCACCUAGGCGACGAUCUCUAGCUGGUCUGAGAGGAUGACCAGCCACACUGGAACUGAGACACGGCCCAGACUCCUACGGGAGGCAGCAGUGGGGAAUAUUGCACAAUGGGCGCAAGCCUGAUGCAGCCAUGCCGCGUGUAUGAAGAAGGCCUUCGGGUUGUAAAGUACUUUCAGCGGGGAGGCGUUACCCGCAGAAGAAGCACCGGCUAACUCCGUGCCAGCAGCCGCGGUAAUAC